rnacentral:tRNA from 1 species
GGAGUGGGUGUAGCUCAGUGGUAGAGUGCAUGCUUAGCAUGCAUGAGGUCCUGGGUUCAAUCCCCAGAACCUCCA